GGGGCUUGAGCUCAAUGAUAGAGUGCUUGCCUUGCAGGUGUAAGGUCCUGGGUUCAAUCCUCAGCUCCA
rnacentral:tRNA from 1 species